GGAUUGUGGCUCAGUGGUAGAGCACUCGCUUGCCUAGCACGGGUGAGGCCCUGGGUUCUAUUCUCAGCACCA
rnacentral:tRNA from 1 species